rnacentral:lncRNA from 1 species
AUUUCAUGAUUUUCAUGGAAUGCAACACAUCACAAACAAAUCACAUAAAGGAUGAAUUUGUCACCAAUAGCCCUCUACAUAGUCCAACUGUGCCAGGGACGUAGAAUGGGUCUUCCUGGACUUUCUCUUACAUAGCAUAACAUAACAUAACAGUCCAACUGUGCCAGGGACGUAGAAUGGGUCUGCCUGGACUUUCUCUUACAUAGUGCCAGCGAACGUAGAAUGGGUCCCACUGGUCUUUCAUUCCAUACCAUACAUAUCAUAUCAU